rnacentral:lncRNA from 1 species
CCACUUUAAUAAUAGCAACACAGUCAAUGACAUUCGAUCCUUCAUUGAUGCAUCCAGGCCUGGGGGUGCUCGGAAUUAUCAGCUGCAGUUGAUGGGGUUCCCUCCGAAGCUUCUUACUGAGCCAACUCAGACAAUAGAGCAGGCAGGCCUUUCCAAUUCAGUUGUUAUUCAGAAAUUCUAGCAAAGCUGCAUGCAGGUCGCAUACUAUCUCUAGUCGUUACUGUGCUCUCUUGUAGUAGUAAACCAAUUUUAUGAACAUCAAGGCCUUGAAUAUCUGUUUCCUAAUAUACAAAAGGGAGGGUUUUGGUGGCUGGUUGCUUGGACGAUGGAGUUGAGUUUUGUGAUUCGAAAAUAUAUUCUUCUGCAGUCUUGUAAAUUGUAUGCUCUUGUUUUGCUACCUUGACAUGUUCUCAUUUCCCACUUCAUGCUGCUGAUAUCAUUUCCCCCGUACAAUUGUACAAACCACAAUAUCUCUCUCUCUCUCUCUCUCUCUCUCUCUCUGUUCUCUCCGCUCAUUCAAGCAUGGCUCAACUUGGUGAAGAGGAUUGAAGUAUAUGACUGACUAUUACAAUUACAACAAAAACUAAAGCCUGUGCCUGUUUUUUCGGUUGCUUUGUGAAUGCCCUCACGAUUUUUGUAAGUAUUUUUUAAAAAAAUAUAUAUUAAAAUAUUUUUUUAUUUUUUAAAAUUUUAUUUUUGAUAUUAAAACAUCAAAACAAUUCAAAAACAUUAAAAAUUAUUUUAAAAUAAAAAAAAUGAUGUGACAGCUAUAAUAAACAAGCUCUCAACAUGGAUUUGAGCAUUUUUAUUUUUUUAUUUUGAUUUUCCAUUCUUUUUUCUUCUUAGUUGACUUAUUUCAAGAUUGAAUUAAUAAACAAUUGCUUUUGAUUUGUUAGUAAUUGAUAAAAUUAAAAGUUAGGGGAAUGAAAAUAGGUGUUGAAAACAUGUGGUUAUUUUGAUUAAAAAAAACAAAAAGUUCAUUUUAGUCCAUGUACUUUUGAUGACAUAGCUCUUGCAUCCCUUUGGUUUAGGAAAAUUCAACUUUGGUCUUCAUUUAUCAAUCAUAAAACAAAGUUUAAAUUUCAAAUUCAUAUAUAAAACUAUAAAAAUAUUUUAUAAAUUAGAAAUUCAUACAUUGCAUUAAGAAAAAGGGAUUACAACUCUAAAACAAAGAUUGAUCCAACGGAAUCGAAUAACACUCCACUAAUCGUAAUUCAAUUCCCAUUCCUACUUUGGGAUUUCAACUGUGGUUUUUGGUGACUGAUAAAUCUGGAUGUAGCUGUGGGAGUUGAUGGAAAAGGUGUUUGAGAAUGAAUACUGUGUCAAAACGUUUUUAUGUUGAACAAAACGUAAAAACAGUGAAAGAUUUAUUUUAUAGCUUCUGGCUUUUAGUUUUAAAAAUGGCUUUCAAAGUAUUUUUCAUUUGGGAUUUUACCAAAUAAAUGUUCUAUUACAGCCAAAGGUCCUAAAAGCUCUUAAAAAUCCUAAAAUAUUUGUGUUACUAAGACAACAGGACGUCCAACGAAUAAUAUUGAGACCCUAUUUGCCAAUUUAUGGAUAUUUAUUUAUUUUUUAGGGCCUUUUUCUCCCCAAAAAAAAAAAAGUGCUUGUAAAGUUUUUAAAAUUAUUUUGAAAGCCCUUUAAAAAAUAAAAGUCAAAGGCUAUAAAAUGAGUUUUUUAGAUUUUAAAUCAAGCUAAGGUUAAAAGCCAUUACUAUACCAAACAUGCCCUCAAUUAUACAAAUCUUGCUGUAAAAAUCUAGGGUUAUUAAAAAAAAUUCAAAAAUUAAACUUUUGUGUUACAUCUUGUUAGUGUUGUGAAACAAAAGAGAUAAAUUUAUAAUUAAGAGAUAGAACUGUGUUUUUGAUUGAAUAGAAAUAUAAAAUAAAAUAAAUUUAUAACUUAGAAUAGUUUUGAAGGGAUUUUUUGUAUUCAAACAUGAAAUAUAGGGAGAUGUGCCUCCUAUUUCUCUAUUUUUUAUUUUGAGACAACAACCAAUAGCUAGCUUAUAGUUCUUCAACUGGUAUUAAUUUUUUCUCUUCAUAUUUAUUUGCAACCACUAUUUAACACCUUUAUUAAAUAAACAUCUUUUUAACCACCAUUGCAUAUCUUUAUGCCAAAAUGUUAAUGUUACGAGAGUUGGAUACUAAAUCUGAAGAGUGUUUUUUUAGUUAAGAGUUGCACAUCUUUUUUUAAGUCAAUUCUUUUGACAUGAGAAACACAUUUUCUAUCAAAUAUAUGGUAUUUUGGUGUUCCCCGAAGAUAGAGUUUCAUGUAUGACUUUCCAUCUUGAACAAAUUACCUACAAAAAACUUUUUGAAUCGAAGAUGUAUGUUAGAAGAUAAUGGUUUAAACUAUUAGUUUUGUAAAAUAAGACUAAAACUACAACUCAUGUUUUACUUCACUGUGAGAUGGUUUAGAAGUUAUGGUCUUGAGUGGUAGAUUGGUUAGGACAACAAUUAAUCUUACCUCAAACUCUAAAUGAUUUCUUCCUGAUACGAGAUGGCGUGGUAUGGGGAUCUAUGCAAACAAAGAUGCGGUGUUUGUUUUUCUUUGGUAUAGUUUAAUAUGUUUGGAAUGCUUAUAAUAAUCAUUGUUAAUGAGAAUGAAAUAAGCUAGGAUGAUGUUUAUUAUUCUCCUUUUUAUCUGGUUGUUAUCGGGGCAAAAUGAUAUGAUGGGAGUUUCUGUUAUACUAGGUAAAGUUUACUUUGUUGAUUAAAUUAUCAUUUUAUAUGGACUAACAAGACAAAUAUAAGAAGUAAUUCUUCUUGGUUACCUCCUUUUAUAGGUAUGAUGAAAUAGAGAUUGUGAAAGUGUCUUUAAAUAAUAAAUUAGAAUAUUUAGGAAUUGAUGGUGUUCUCAAAGAUUAGAAGGGAGAUCUCUUUGUAUUUUUUCUUGUUCCACAUGUAAUAUGAAAUCUAACAAUCUAACAAAGCCGAGGUCUUGGUAAUUCAAAAGGUUAUGCUUAUGAGUAAUAAUUGCAGCUAUAUUUCUACAAAUCAAUGAAUUAUAGAGUCAAAUUCUUACAAUGCCAUUAUCUGGAUUAAAAGGAAAAAUGUUUGGCAUUGGCACUUCCAAAUUGAAUUCAAUAAUAUUUCCAAUGCAUGCACUAAGCUUCAAAUAUUUGUGUGUUUUAAACAUGUUCUUAGAGAGAAGAAUCAUGUUGCAAAUCAUGCCAAGCAGGAAGUUCUUAGAGAAUAUAUUGUAGUUGUCUUGUUAUAACUUCUCUUAUACAGGAUUUAUUAUGCUUGAUUAUAUUUGUGGGUUUAGUUUUUUUUAUGUAGCAAGUUUUUUAUUACUCUUCUAGUUUUUUUUGUUUUUUUUUUUAAUAAUUGAGGAAUUUUAUUAAAUAAAGUUCUAGUGCCAUGAAAGUAAUGACAAACCAGCACGGGAGAUACCUACAAGACUAUUUACAAACUACUGUAAAAUAAGAACAAACCAAGUUGGGAGGAAGUUCAUCCUGUCGACUUAGUCACCAUACCUUAACCAGCUACCAUUCAACAGUUAAAAUUUACAACAAAACUCAUGAGUAUACCGGAAAAGGGUGACCAAUUGUGGGAAAUAAUCACGAAGUUCUUCUUUAAAGGAAAGUCUGCCUUGGCGAUCAAAUGAUGCUGACUGAAAGUGUCCUUACUUCAUGUCAAGUAACUUAAGUCAUAUGAAUUGAAGUUAUGAAUUCAAGCACACAAAUAUUGCAGUAGUUUCUGUAAGUAUUGACAAGUACACAUAGAUUCUUCAUACUUUGUUGGCUUUGGAACAAGAUAGACAGCUGAGUCUAAAAUGAGCACUAAUAUGCCGGUUUCUUUAGACAUUAAUUAGAAAGUCUUUGUUCAGGUGAAAACAGCGAUUAGGAUAUUCAUUCGGUGUAAAAGUGCAAUCCAUUCCAUUUACAACUAAAUAAUUAAUUAUUAAGCUCUUAGUUUUUCUAAUGGAUUUCAUUAAUAUCAUAGGUAAUGUUAUGACUCUUUGAUCAAAAUGUCAGAUUUCAUGAGCAUGAACAAGGUAUGUGUAAGAGUUUCUGGAGCUCACAAGCGUUCUUCUAUCUUUGUCAAAGAAACCCUAAACCCCCGUAUGAAGGUUUCUGAGUCGAUACAAGAAAGUUGCUGAACUUGUAUUCAUAUAAUCUCUUCCUUCCCUUAUGCAAAUAAAGGGUAAAUUCAUAAUGAGGUGGUCUAUUAGAGUCUCAUUGAUCUAUAUAUAACUCCAUGAAGCCUUGCACUUUCAUUGCAAGAGUCUCUCCAUCAUCAAUAGCUUUUUCAUUAGACUUUUAAGGAUGUUUCAUCAGAAUCAAAUUUCAGUCAUAACGUUACUGAAUCUUUUGUGGUAAUUCAUGCAAAAAUUAAGGAAACCGGAAUUUCCUCAUCUCUUCGCUAUAAACAUGCCAUAACCCCUACAUUUUCAUGAUGUAUUGCGAUAGCAGAAAGAAAAAAAAUGAUGAACUGAAUAAUAUUCUUCUUAUUCAACAUAACAUUUAAUUGUUCACUGUUACAUUGUUUAUAUAGGCUCAUGAAUAAAUAAAGAUUAAUUAACAAUAGUAACUGAUUUGUAGUUAUCAGUUACUGAAUCUUCUAACUGUCAUAACUAACUUCCAACUUCCUUAACAAACUCUCUAACUGCUGCAAUUGCGUGCCGAAGACGUCAACUAUGCAUUGCUGGAGAGUGCUUUUGUUGACGAUAAUUCCUCUGCUCUGCUGUAGCUGCAUGUAAGUUUAAUAUGAUGAUAGUUAAAUUAUUAUAUAGAUUCAUAUAGAGGUGGUAAUUAACAUAUCAAGUUUUGUAUGUUGUUUUACUCUCUCCCAACGUAAAAGUACUGCAAAAAUAUGCGAUGCUAGUUGCUGCAGUAACUUUUCAUGUGUUAUUUUAAUGCAUUAUGAGCUGCUAACAGCUCUGUGUUUUAUAGUCAGUAGGAGUUAUGGCUUUGCGAUUUCGAUUUCGAGAAGGUCUUUGCGUUCUUUUGGAUCAUUUUCUGGGUUUGGUCGCUGUGUGGUGAUUCUUCUAGUCUGACCAGUCAGUCAUUUCGAGCUUCUCAUGGUAAAGGAACUUGCUUUACUGGGAUUGAUUCGAGGGUUUUCUUUCAGGUUUUUAGCUUUUGUUGGAGUUUUGUUUACCUUUAUUGUAACAGAUUUGUAUGGACACGUUUCUGGGCAUUGCUUAUUUUCUGCAGAAUCUUCUAGCUAGCUUAAUCAAGGUACGUACUCAUUGAGCGUAAUUUUUCUUUCUUUCUUUCUUUCUUCUUGCACACCAAUUCUGAACUUGGAGGGUGUGGGUUAUUUAUGUGCAGCUUGUCGAACUCCAUUUGGAUUUACUUUGACUGAUAAAUGCCUUGUGUUUUGUUCUUGCAUUGGAAAUGAACUUAUGAGCUGAUGGUAAAUCACGUUUUAAUGCAGGGGUAUCUUCCCUUGCUUAUCAGAGGCUAAAAAAAAAAUGUUAGUCCUUAAAAUGUUCAUGUAUUUAAAAAGUCGUAGCCAUUAAUUCUAAAUUUUUAUGAUUGAAUAAGACAUCCACUCAUAUUAGCAUUAUUUAUUCCAUUCGGAUAAUAAAAUAAGACCGUAUACGUGUGUUUAAAGUACUAAUUAAAAUGGCAAAUGAGUUGUUAACCACACUAUCAUUAUUAAUAUCUGAUGGUCUGAGGCUGUCUUUCCUUUUCUACCUCAUCAAGUCUCCACAAAUCAAUCUAAAGCAAAAAACAAUGGCUUAUAGGGACAAGAAACCAGCAAAGCCCUCAAGCAGUGGAGCAGGCAGUAUCCGUACUCUCUCCGAUCUGGACCGGUGGACUGGACCUGAAUCUGAUAGCGAUGAUGAGGAUGCUCCUGAAUAGUACUCCACUGGUGGCGAGAAAGGGCAACAAACAACUACUCUCCCUUGAAACCUAACUUUAUAUUCAAAUUCAUUUCUUCUGCUUUUUCAAAGUUUUGAUUUUUAAUAUAAAGUUGCAGUCUUUUUUGGUGUGUCGCACAGUGUGAUAUUAGUAGUGCAGUGUUAGUGUUGUUGGCCUGUGGAAACAGUUCUGUCUGUUGGAUGGAUUUUAAUUUUCAUUUUGAUUCUGGUUAGAAGUAAUCUCUGAGCUCGCUGUAUUGAAAAUGCAUUUGGGGAGGUUCCAAGAGCAUCCGGAUAACAGCAUUAGUAGAGUCUGGAUGACGAUGGGAUUUAUCUAUAGAGCUCACUUUUUCCUACUUGAUUCUGGAGCUGUAGCAUAGCUAGAGAAGAAGCACCUUAUUCAGAGUCUCAAGACUAGGCCUGUAGACUGGGUGCUGACCAAAGAAAGCUUUGUGGUCUUGGAAUGUGUAUAGAUGAUGGUUCUUUUGUGCAUUUUUAGCAUUAUUUCGGCCUUGUUUUUAUCAGGUUGUGUCAUCAGUAAAUCCGUUAUAUUUUGUAUUCGAAGCAUUUGUAAUUUUCAACCUUUCAUAAUUCUAUGAAGAACAAAAUUUGAUAUUUGCAUAUUUUCAUAUUCUCAACUAUUUGUUAGUUCAAUUUUUUUGAGAUUUUGCUCUUUCAAUCCUGUAAUUGUGGCACCUGAUAUUAUCCAACUCUUUUGGUAAAUUCCCAUGAUUGCACAUAAAGCUUUAGUUGCUAUGCCAAUGUCUAUCAUUUACUUUUAUCUGACUCGAAUCCCUUGGUUAUUCCUUCCCAUGUAUGAAAUGUGUUUAUAUUUAAGUACUUCUCAUACUUCUAACACUAAUUUUUAUUGUUGCAGUGGUAUGCUCGUCCAAGAUCCUACAAAAGGUAAUGAUGUGGAUGCAAUUUUCAAUCAAGCUAGACAACUUGGAGCCGUUGAAGGUCCUCUGGAGAAUCUUAAUCAAUCUUCAAGUUGAAGAAGCUUUACUGGAACUGGUAGAUUACUCUCAGGGAGACUGUACCAUCUGCUCCUCAACAACCUGAGGCUGUUGUUCACAAUAUUGUUUUCUGGACUAAAGGUUUCACUGUAGACGAUGGCCCCUUGAGGAGGCUGGACGAUCCUGAAAAUGCAUCUUUCUUAGAGGUAAUAGCAACAUUGGUUGAAAAUGAAAUAAAAGUUUUUUUCAGAAGGUGGACUUAUGCUUUGGAGUUGGAGAUAUCUGUUUCCACCACUCUGCUGUGUUUGAAAAAAAUUCAAAGCAUGUGUUUAAUGAAGCCUUCUCAAUCAGUGUCUUUUCACUAUUUUUCUUGAAUCAACAGAUCUAGUUACAUAGGUAGUUCAUCCCUGGGAUUUUUUUUCUACAUACUCUUGAACCUUCACUUGUAGCAACAAAAACUAGUGCAGCUUUUGUUUUAUUUUGUUGUGCUUUGCUUUCACCCUCACCCUUAUGUCAUCAUCUGUAUUGUUUGUGGUGAUGUUAUGAUAUUGUUAUAUCUCAGAGCAUAAGGAAGUCUGAGUGUCCAAAGGAGCUUGAACCUGCUGAUAGAAGGUCUUCGGUUCAUGUCAAUUUGACUAGGAGGGAUCAAAACUGCCCUGUGAGAGUCUCUCUCUCUACCAGCUUUCUUUUCUUAGUAUUUACUAAGACUAACAAUUCUUUGUGGAACUUUAGAAAUUACCAUCCUGUUUGUCAAUCACCAAUUCAGUGUUCUAGUUGAUAGUUCUUGUCCAAAAAAUGCAUCAACAUGCUUUCACAUGUGUGCAUUUGAAAGACAUGAGUGUAAUCAUCAAUUCAACUUAGGUUGGCUGAUGGGACCCGCAUGGUGGCCCACUUCAAUAAUAGCCGCACAGUUAAUGACAUUGGAUCCUCCAUUGAUGCAUCCAGGCCUGGGGAUGCUCGGAAUUAUCAGCUGCAGUUGAUGGAAUUCCCUCCGAACUCCGAAGCUCCUUACUUAUCCAACUCAGAAAAUAGAGCAGGCAGACCUUUCCAGUUUAGUUGUUAUUCAGAAAUUGUAGCAAAGCUGCAUGAAGGCCGCACGCUAUCUCUAGUUGUUAUUGAGCU